AAGUCGUAACAAGGUUUCCGUAGGUGAACCUGCGGAAGGAUCAUUAACACGCAUUUAAAAGCAUCCAAAUAUCAACAAAUCACAACCAAACGGUCAACUAUCUCCUCCCUAUUUCGCACACCGGAGACGGUACGAGUAGGCUAACAUGUAAAUAACAACAAAGCUCAAUCAAGCAAUUGGUUGCGCAUACAAUGUUAUUUUCAAACACAAGAUAACCCCUUUUAAUUAUAUUAUUCAUUUAAUAUAAACGAACAACUCUUCGAAUUUGCCCUUCCUUUUGAUUUUAUUUUCAAUGAAGAACAAAAACGAACUAAACUAAAAUAUACAUUCGAUAUAUUUUUAUUUUACGAAAUAAUAUAUAUUUAUAAGAACAACUCUUAGCAAUGGAUAUCUUGGUUCUC
rnacentral:misc_RNA from 1 species